CAGUCGUCUAGCUUCUGAUAUGUUGGAGGCACUGAUGUGCUCUCAAGAUUGGCUUAGGAACAAGUAUAAAUAUGAUCGCAGUGGAGAUGCUGCAAGUUUCUGGUCUUGCCUUCAAGACAUUCAAGAGGGGUUGCAGGAUUUGACAAUUUGAUUGCUGGAAUAAGGAAGCUGAAGCUGUUGAUCCAUUGUCCAAAUGAUGAAGCUACUGCCUGCUGGUUUGUUCUCAGAUUCUACUGGUCUGCUGGCUGAAUGCUGAAGCUGGUCUCUUAUUGAUGAAUAAUGGGCUGUGAAGCUCCUACUUAUUCUUUUUAUCAUAUGAACUAUUGCCUUAAGUA